AGUGAACGCUGGCGGUAGGCCUAACACAUGCAAGUCGAACGGCAGCACAGUAAGAGCUUGCUCUUACGGGUGGCGAGUGGCGGACGGGUGAGGGAUACAUCGGAAUCUACUUUUUCGUGGGUGAUAACGUAGGGAAACUUACGCUAAUACCGCACACGACCUACGGGUGAAAGCAGCGGAUCUUAGGCCCUUGCGCGAUUGAAUGAGCCGAUGUCGGAUUAGCUAGUUGGCGGGGUAAAGGCCCACCAAGGCGACGAUCCGUAGCUGGUCUGAGAGGAUGAUCAGCCACACUGGAACUGAGACACGGUCCAGACUCCUACGGGAGGCAGCAGUGGGGAAUAUUGGACAAUGGGCGAAAGCCUGAUCCAGCCAUACCGCGUGGGUGAAGAAGGCCUUCGGGUUGUAAAGCCCUUUUGUUGGGAAAGAAAAGCAGCAGGUUAAUACCCCGCUGUUCUGACGGUACCCAAAGAAUAAGCACCGGCUAACUUCGUG
rnacentral:rRNA from 1 species